AAAAGGACAAUUUUUGGGAGUGUUAAUCAUAGAAAAGUAGGAUAUAAGAUGCUUUUUGACAAGAGGAAAAUUCAUGUGCUUUUUUUCACAUUGAACAGAAAUCUGAGAGGCCUGUAAACUGCCCAGUACACCUGGAAAGAUGAUGAGAAUAUAACAUAGGACAACACAGGAGGAGGAAAGAACACCUUCACUGCACUCACAGCCACUGAAAUACCCAAGUGCCUUUGCAGAGUCUGAUGAUAGAGCAGUUCUUGUGCUAGCACACAAAUGCAAAAUGCACAGGUGGAAUUAAUAUUGAAAAUACCUGGAUUUAUAUUGACUGUGAUUUCACAUUGCAGUGGCAAGGCAAAAACCUGAGUAAAAAGAAAGUGUCAGUGAUGUUAUAAACAAAAGAUUAGUCAGCAAGUACUGACUCUGCAUCCACAGGUGGACUCUGUGUGAGAUAAUGCAGAAUCAGAACAUUUGCAAGGAUUUCAUGCAGACACUCCAAACGCUUGCUGUAGCAGACAAAUGUCUGGCACUAGUGUACAAAAAAAAAAAAAAAAAGGGGUAGUUCCUAGCUGGUUCUUUUUUAAAAGUAAUUUCCUUUAGCCUAGGGCUUUAAGAUUUAGGAUUCACUUUUCUGUGUAAGUGUGUGGAACAGCAGAACAGAAUAAGUCCAUAUAAGUCCUGGGCCCCUUACAAAAACAUGUUUUACUGUGUUAAAAGCACUUACCACCUGAAUUCUGAAUUUAACAUUAGAGUAUUGUCUAAGUCUGGUCUUUCAGGUUUUCUGUGUUAUUUAGUACAUCCAUCUAAGUCAAUCCAGUCUGAAGAAGAACUACAUGAAUCCCUAGUAAAAUACAAAAUGUACACCAGCUUGCUAAACAUAUUUUAAAAAAAAAUAAUUGAAAUGGUCUUUUCAUUAACUCCUAGAUUUUAUGUGUUUCUACAGGCUCAUAAGAUUUUAAGAAAGAAAUCAAUUCAGUGCUAAUAAUACUUUUUCUUCCUUCCAUUUAAAUUUGGUACUAGAGGAAACUUCUGUGUCUUACAUCGUUGGCAUAAUUUCUGACAAGUAUGUAUAAUGAGACUGGAAGACAAACAAUUCUCAAAAAUAAUAUUCCUCCCUCUGAAGUUUGCAGUUGUGAUGUUCAUGACAUUGAUGUUUUCACUGUGUGUUCUCCAAGUCUGUAUCCUGUAUGUUCUGAUUGGGCUGCCCUGAUACCCUGGUUCUGAGAAGCUGGUUUUUUAUGUUUACAUGAAACUAGUCCAAGCUCGAAGCCAAGUUCUGUCUGCAAUUCUGUAUUCUGAGAGGGGAAAAAGUAGCUGUUGAUUAAAGGCUCAUCUUCAAAUACAUGUAUUUUUGAACGCCUCAUUUUCACAGAUUGUGCAGCGUUGUGUCCGUGAACUUCCAGGGUUUGCAUUAAAAAGUGACAGAACAUCAGAGUGCCAGAAGCUUCUCAUAUUGUGGCCCUGAAGUUCCGCAGAGAUCCCUGUUCAUUUGUACAAACUCAUCGUUGGACUUUGAUACAUGCACAUGUAAGCAUCACAGAGCAGUCUUCGUGCACAUCCUUGGAUUUUUCUGGAAUCCAGUGAGUGUAAUUCUUCUAGAGACAUCUUCAGAUAUUCGCCAACUUCUGGACAUGGGGUAACUUGUGGAAUGUUGAAGCCAUUCUGACCUCCUUUUAAACCAUAAGGAAAGAAGGAGAAACGUAUUAGGAUAGCAUCUGCAUAUAUCUGCUCUUUAUCAUGUACUUUAAUUAUGACAGCAUCACUAGUUCUUGAAAAUGCCUUCUAAAAAGCCUAAAUAUGCCCCUUUGGACAUAUUUAGGUAAUACCUGCAGGGUAAACUUCUAUAGAAGGUGCAUUGUUCAAGAAAUCACAAUUAAUGUCAGAAUAUCUUGUAGUGUUUACUAACAAACCACACACA